rnacentral:tRNA from 1 species
GGGGCAUUAGCGCAGUUGGGAGCGCGCUACAUUCGCAUUGUAGAGGUCGUCGGUUCGAAUCCGAUAUGCUCCA